CAAUUUAAACAACGAAGAGUUUGAUCCUGGCUCAGGAUGAACGCUAGCGACAGGCUUAACACAUGCAAGUCGAGGGGCAGCACAGGUAGCAAUACCGGGUGGCGACCGGCGCACGGGUGAGUAACGCGUAUGCAACUUGCCUAUCAGAGGGGGAUAACCCGGCGAAAGUCGGACUAAUACCGCAUGAAGCAGGGGCCCCGCAUGGGGAUAUUUGCUAAAGAUUCAUCGCUGAUAGAUAGGCAUGCGUUCCAUUAGGCAGUUGGCGGGGUAACGGCCCACCAAACCGACGAUGGAUAGGGGUUCUGAGAGGAAGGUCCCCCACAUUGGUACUGAGACACGGACCAAACUCCUACGGGAGGCAGCAGUGAGGAAUAUUGGUCAAUGGCCGAGAGGCUGAACCAGCCAAGUCGCGUGAGGGAUGAAGGUUCUAUGGAUCGUAAACCUCUUUUAUAAGGGAAUAAAGUGCGGGACGUGUCCCGUUUUGUAUGUACCUUAUGAAUAAGGAUCGGCUAACUCCGUGCCAGCAGCCGCGGUAAUACGGAGGAUCCGAGCGUUAUCCGGAUUUAUUGGGUUUAAAGGGUGCGUAGGCGGCCUUUUAAGUCAGCGGUGAAAGUCUGUGGCUCAACCAUAGAAUUGCCGUUGAAACUGGGGGGCUUGAGUAUGUUUGAGGCAGGCGGAAUGCGUGGUGUAGCGGUGAAAUGCAUAGAUAUCACGCAGAACCCCGAUUGCGAAGGCAGCCUGCCAAGCCAUUACUGACGCUGAUGCACGAAAGCGUGGGGAUCAAACAGGAUUAGAUACCCUGGUAGUCCACGCAGUAAACGAUGAUCACUAGCUGUUUGCGAUACACUGUAAGCGGCACAGCGAAAGCGUUAAGUGAUCCACCUGGGGAGUACGCCGGCAACGGUGAAACUCAAAGGAAUUGACGGGGGCCCGCACAAGCGGAGGAACAUGUGGUUUAAUUCGAUGAUACGCGAGGAACCUUACCCGGGUUUGAACGCAUUCGGACCGAGGUGGAAACACCUUUUCUAGCAAUAGCCGUUUGCGAGGUGCUGCAUGGUUGUCGUCAGCUCGUGCCGUGAGGUGUCGGCUUAAGUGCCAUAACGAGCGCAACCCUUGCCACUAGUUACUAACAGGUUAGGCUGAGGACUCUGGUGGGACUGCCAGCGUAAGCUGCGAGGAAGGCGGGGAUGACGUCAAAUCAGCACGGCCCUUACAUCCGGGGCGACACACGUGUUACAAUGGCGUGGACAAAGGGAUGCCACCUGGCGACAGGGAGCGAAUCCCCAAACCACGUCUCAGUUCGGAUCGGAGUCUGCAACCCGACUCCGUGAAGCUGGAUUCGCUAGUAAUCGCGCAUCAGCCAUGGCGCGGUGAAUACGUUCCCGGGCCUUGUACACACCGCCCGUCAAGCCAUGGGAGCCGGGGGUACCUGAAGUCCGUAACCGAAAGGAUCGGCCUAGGGUAAAACUGGUGACUGGGGCUAAGUCGUAACAAGGUAGCCGUACCGGAAGGUGCGGCUGGAACACCUCCUUUCUGGA
rnacentral:rRNA from 1 species